GCCCCCAGCCUGUGCUGGGCUGGUGCGGCGCGGGCAGGUUCUCCGCUCCCUGGGGAGGGGGCGUCAGGCGGGAGGGGAGAGCGAGCGAGCUCAGGCACCAGGUGGCCCAGAGCUAAUCCCGUAAAUGCCCGAACAGCUGCCCAGCGCCAUUUAAAGAGACAGGGCUCCGCCGCUGCGCCGCGCGACAACGGGCCCUGACCUCAGCGAGGGCCUCCUGCAACUGCCUAGGCCGGCUUCUAACAAAAUAAUAGGAGCCUCCUCCUUCAGCUCUGCCCGGAGGGAAGAUGGCCCUCGUGCAGCCAGAGUCCUUUCCUUUCCUGUGAGGAAUCCUAGCUGGGGCUGGCACCCACGUACUCAAUGUAUAGGGGACACAAAAAAGAAUGCAAAUCAGAAGGAAGAGAGUAGGCAGAGCAGGAAGAGCGAGGCAAGGGCUCCUUUCAAGUUGAAGGAUGCACAGGAACUGGAGGGAGGAAGCAGAUGGGGGCUGUUCUCGGGUGAGUUUCACUCACAAUUUCUUUGCAUCAUUGCUUUCUGGUAAAUGGAGUCCUAAUACUAUAUAUAUUCCUGACAGUAUCUUAUGUAGGAUGGGAGAAGAUGGAUACCCAACAAAUUUUUAUAUAGA